rnacentral:tRNA from 1 species
GCCGGGGUGGCGAAAUUGGUAGACGCAGCGGAUUCAAAAUCCGCCGGGCUAACCCCCGUGUCGGUUCGAGUCCGACCCUCGGCACCA